CGCGUCCGUCCCGUGGACGCCCUGCCCAUCCCGGCCCGCUCCCGGUUACGCUGGCGCCGUGCGCCGUUCCCCCGGAUGCCCCCCGUGUGUCCGGGAAGCCGCAUAGCCGACAGCCGUCGCACUCGAGGGAGCCCCUUACAUG
rnacentral:sRNA from 1 species